rnacentral:rRNA from 1 species
GACGAACGCUGGCGGCGUGCCUAAUACAUGCAAGUUGAACGCUGAAGACUGGUACUUGUACUAGUCGGAUGAGUAGCGAACGGGUGAGUAACGCGUGGGUAACCUACCUCUUAGCGGGGGACAACUAUUGGAAACGAUAGCUAAUACUGGAUGUGGUGUGAGGAAGGCAUCUUCUUCAUAUUAAAGGAGCUACGGCUUCACUUAUUGAUGGACCUGCGGCGCAUUAGCUAGUUGGUAAGGUAGAGGCUUACCAAGGCAAUGAUGCGUAGCCGAUCUGAGAGGAUAAACGGCCACACUGGGACUGAGAUACGGCCCAGACUCCUACGGGAGGCAGCAGUAGGGAAUUUUCCACAAUGGACGGAAGUCUGAUGGAGCAACGCCGCGUGUGCGAAGAAGGUUUUCGGAUUGUAAAGCACUGUUGUAUAGGAAGAAUAAGGUAAACAGGGAAUGGUUUACUGAUGACGGUACUAUACGAGGAAGUCACGGCUAACUACGUGCCAGCCGCCGCAGUAACAC